rnacentral:rRNA from 1 species
GAUGAACGCUGGCGGCGUGCCUAACACAUGCCAGUCGAACGGAGAUUCCGGACGGAAGUUUUCGGAUGGAAGACUGUAAUUCUUAGUGGCGGACGGGUGAGUAACGCGUGGGCAACCUGCCCUAUACAGGGGGAUAGCAGCUGGAAACGGCUGGUAAGACCGCAUAAGUCGGUUAAAUCGCAUGAUUUGAUCGGGAAAUGAGCAAUCAGGUAUAGGAUGGGCCCGCGUCCGAUUAGCCAGUUGGCAGGGUAAAAGCCUACCAAAGCGACGAUCGGUAGCCGGACUGAGAGGUCGGACGGCCACAUUGGGACUGAGACACGGCCCAAACUCCUACGGGAGGCAGCAGUGGGGGAUAUUGCACAAUGGAGGAAACUCUGAUGCAGCGACGCCGCGUGAGUGAAGAAGUAUUUCGGUAUGUAAAGCUCUAUCAGCAGGGAAGAUGAUGACGGUACCUGACGAAGAAGCCCCGGCUAACUACGUG